rnacentral:rRNA from 1 species
GGCCAGACUCCUACGGGAGGCAGCAGUGAGGAAUAUUGGUCAAUGGCCGCAGGGCUGAACCAGCCAAGUCGCGUGAGGGAUGGCGGUCCUAUGGAUUGUAAACCUCUUUUGUCAGGGAGCAAAGGGCGCCACGUGUGGCGUUUUGCGAGUACCUGAAGAAAAAGCAUCGGCUAACUCCGUGCCGGCAGCCGCGGUAAUACGGAGGAUGCGGGCGUUAUCCGGAUUUAUUGGGUUUAAAGGGUGCGCAGGCGGAGGUGCAAGUCAGCGGUCAAAUUGCGGGGCUCAACCCCGUACUGCCGUUGAAACUGCCGUUCUUGAGUGAGCGAGAAGUAUGCGGAAUGCGUGGUGUAGCGGUGAAAUGCAUAGAUAUCACGCAGAACUCCGAUUGCGAAGGCAGCAUACCGGCGCUCAACUGACGCUGAAGCACGAAGGCGUGGGUAUCGAACAGGAUUAGAUACCCGCGUAC